UUCUUCAGGGUUGGGUGCAAUUCCCUACUGGCGGUAAUAGGUCAUCCUUAAGUCCGCGACCCGCAGAUGCAUUCUGCGGCUGAUCCGGUGUGAAUCCGGGACCAACAGUACAGUCUGGAUGAAAGAAGACG
rnacentral:ncRNA from 1 species